rnacentral:lncRNA from 1 species
UCCUGCGUGCAUGUGCGCCCGGCGCGUCUCCCGCGUAUAGCCUUGAGUAAACAGGCUGCAGUGUGGUGUUGGAAGCGGGAGAGGAAGCAUGCGUGGCAUUCUCGCUCGCCUGUUACCCUGAAUGCCUUCGAAUGCUUAGCUGGAGGGACGCGACGAGGUGAACAUAGGAAAAUGUCGCCCCUACGCGCAUAGGCUUCCAAGAUGACCUCAGAACCAUGUUAUCAGUCGCGCUCUAUCCCCAAUCAGUGACGAAGCGCGGGCAGCUGAUCAACUCCGACUGGCGAAUUACAUUGACAGCAAAUGCAUGAAUGAAUGUAGCAGGACAGACAGAGGAAAUUCCCAGCAUGGAGUGGUUAGCUUUCGGGUUAUCAAAGACCUACGUGUCAUUUUUGCUGUUAAAGAGGACAUGGAGAGAUUCACUACCACUACAGGACAGCAGAGACAGCUGACGUGUCGCGGACUGACAGGAGACCAGCUUUUAUGAGACAAGAAUUGCUUGUUUUAUUUUUCGCUUUAGUUGUCCCUUUACUGUUUCUGGUCUGUGUUCUUUGGAAUGGAUUUAUUUUCAGAAGAGACGAUACAAAAUUACAUUCUUCUUGGGUACUUUAAAGUAGUUCAUGUGAUCAGUUUCGGAUACAUGUCUAUUCUAUAAUUUUUUGAUUCUUGUCAUUAAAGAGAGAGAGAGAGAAACAAAAUACAUAUAAUUGUUGCACAUACAGAAAACAACAGAAAUGCUUGUGGCACACCUGUCAGGCUUCUCUGAGGUAGAGGAAACGGAGGUGAAAGGCGCCUCUACGACUUUCCUGGUGUUCCUCUACCUCCUCCUUUCCCUCCUGCUCUUCAACCUCGAGGUUGUCCACGUCCUUCGCUCGUCGCUCGCGUCCUUCACCUACUGGAUGAGGUCGUCCUACGUGGAAGCUUAUCCUGGGUCUGAAAACGGCGUGAUUCCUGUGACGACCGUCACGUUCUCCUCUUCCCUUUCUCCUUCCCCACCCUCCUCCACCGCCACUCCGUCUCCCUCCUUUCUUUCGAUCUCCUCUUCUAUGCCCAGCGACGGUUCUCCCUUGUUACUCUCCACCUACCCCUCUUCCUCUAUCCGUCCCCGACUCACGACCUCGACUUCUGUUUCCUCAUUGCAUUCUGGAACCCAGAGUCUCUCCACUUUCCCUCCAUCUUUUCCUGCCAGUUCGUCUCCGUCUGCAUGUUGCCCCACUUCAGAACCGAGAUGACGUUUCUUCGCCAGUUCGAGACGUAUAGAUUAUUUUCUGAGUGAUAUGAUAACGAUCGUCUUUAUGUAUAGUGACAUCAUCACAGUUUUUGUUCUUUAAAAAUUGCAUUGGCCUGUGCUUCUUUAAUGGUCUUUUUUUCGAUCCGUGAUCAGGUCUUUGAUAUACAUAUUUGUGUAAUAUAUAUAUAUAUAUAUAUAUAUAUAUAUAUAUAUAUAUAUAUAUAUAUAUACACACACAUAAACACACGUAUGAGUUUAAGUGUGUAUCUUUAUAGGGAGAAAAUUAUAUUAGUAUAUGAAACGUACAUGAAAAGGCAUGAAUUGAUCGAUUAGUUUUUCUCUACCUAUUUAUAUGCUAAAGAGGGUUGCUUAAGUAUGAUUUCUCUAAGGGAUUUAAAAUCGACAGCUAAGCAGUUUGAGAAUCUGUUUAGAUAUGAUUGUGGGCAUCGUUCAUGCAUUAUAUACUGGCAGACACUGUGUGUGUAUUUAAACUUAUAAAUAUACUUGUAUGUAUAUAUAUCUAUAUUUGUAUUUACGCAGUGAACUUCGUACCUAUUUGGGUCUUUGGAAGUAAAUUAAGUUUAUUCCUUGUAAUGACUUGUCACCCUAACAAGGGGAAAUCCUAAUCGACCCACUGCAAUGUCACAUUGAUACACAACUGAUAUUGAUUACUUUUAUGUUUGGACAAAUAAAUCUUAUUAAUAA